GACGAACGCUGGCGGCGUGCUUAACACAUGCAAGUCGAACGGAAAGGCCCUGCUUUUGUGGGGUGCUCGAGUGGCGAACGGGUGAGUAACACGUGAGUAACCUGUCCUUGACUUUGGGAUAACUUCAGGAAACUGGGGCUAAUACCGGAUAGGAGCUCCUGCUGCAUGGUGGGGGUUGGAAAGUUUCGGCGGUUGGGGAUGGACUCGCGGCUUAUCAGCUUGUUGGUGGGGUAGUGGCUUACCAAGGCUUUGACGGGUAGCCGGCCUGAGAGGGUGACCGGCCACAUUGGGACUGAGCUACGGCCCAGACUCCUACGGGAGGCAGCAGUGGGGAAUAUUGCACAAUGGGCGGAAGCCUGAUGCAGCAACGCCGCGUGCGGGAUGACGGCCUUCGGGUUGUAAACCGCUUUCGCCUGUGACGAAGCGUGAGUGACGGUAAUGGGUAAAGAAGCACCGGCUAACUACGUG
rnacentral:rRNA from 1 species